GAGAAAGUUACUUAAGGGCGUAUGGGGAAUGCCUAGGCUCUCAGAGGCGAAGAAGGACGUGCCAAGCUGCGAUAAACCACGGGGAUCUGCUGAGAAGAAUUGAUCCGUGGGUGUCCGAAUGGGGAAACCCGAUAUUCUGAAGGGAUAUCAUCCGAAAGGAAGCGAACCCCGGGAACUGAAACAUCUAAGUACCGGGAGGAAGAGAAAACAAAUAGUGAUUCCGUAAGUAGUGGCGAGCGAACGCGGAAAAGCCCAAACCUAAAUUGUUAAGGCAAUUUAGGGGUUGUAGGACCACGACGUUGUUGCGUAAAUGAACUUAAACUACAUGGGAAGGUAGACCAGAGAAGGUGAAAGUCCUGUCAAGGUAAGUUUGCGUAAUAUAGUGGUAUCCUGAGUAGGGCGGGGUUGGAGACGCCCCGUCUGAAACUGCCAGCACCAUCUGGUAAGGCUAAAUACUACUGAGAGACCGAUAGUGAACCAGUACUGUGAAGGAAAGGUGAAAAGUACCCUGAAUAAGGGGGUGAAAUAGAACCUGAAACCGUACGCUUACAACCUGUCGGAGGGGUUAUUACCCUGACGGCGUGCCUUUUGCAUAAUGAGCCUACGAGUUACUCCUCACUGGCAAGGUUAAGAUUAUAUAUAAUCGGAGCCGGAGCGAAAGCGAGUCUGAACAGGGCGUUCAGUCAGUGGGGGUAGACGCGAAACUUUGUGAUCUACCCAUGACCAGGAUGAAGUGUCGGUAACACGACAUGGAGGUCCGAACUGGUAAACGUUGAAAAGUUUUCGGAUGAGUUGUGGGUAGGGGUGAAAGGCUAAUCAAACUGAGAAAUAGCUCGUACUCCUCGAAAUGUUUUUAGGAACAGCCUUGUGGUCGAGUCUGAAAGAGGUAGAGCUACCAAUAGGACUAGGGGGAGUCAAAUCCUACCAAAUCCUGAUGAACUCCGAAUGCUUUCAGAUAUACACAGGAGUGAGGGCUGGGGUGCUAAGGUCCCAGUCCAAAAGGGAAAGAACCCGGAUCAACAGCUAAGGUCCCCAAAUCUAUUCUAAGUUGAACUAAGGAGGUUCAGCUGCAGAGACAGCCAGGAGGUUUGCUUGGAAGCAGCAAUUCCUUUAAAGAGUGCGUAACAGCUCACUGGUCGAGCGGCAGAGCAUCGAUAAUAAACGGGCAUCAAGAAUAGUACCGAAGCUUUGGGUUUGCAGCAAUGCAAGCGGUAGAGGAGCAUUCCAAACAGCGGCGAAGGCGAAUCGUAAGGUUUGUUGGAGCGUUUGGAAAAGCAAAUGUAGGCAUAAGUAACGAUAAAAUAGGUGAGAAACCUAUUCGCCGAUAGACUAAGGUUUCCUGAUCAACGUUAAUCGGAUCAGGGUUAGUCGGGGCCUAAGGAAAAGCCGAAAGGUGUAUUCGAUGGACAACUGGUUAAUAUUCCAGUACUUGCAUUAAGAGCGAUGGAGAGACGGAGUAGUGAAAGGUCUGCGCACGGACGGAAGUGUGCGUUAAAGCCAGUAGGUAUAAGUUUUGUAGGAAAAUCCGCAAGACUUGCUGAAGGUGAAAGUACCGUGAGGCUUCGGCCAAAUGGAUAAUGACCCUAAACAGACUUCCAAGAAAAUCUUCUAAGCAUAUUUUAAUGGAACCCGUACCGCAAACCGACACAGGUAGUCAAGGAGAGAAUCCUGAGGCGCUCGAGUGAAUCACGGCCAAGGAACUCGGCAAAAUCACCCUGUAACUUCGGGAGAAGGGGAGCCUACCCAGCGAUGGGAGGUCGCAGAGAAAUGGCCCAGGCGACUGUUUAACAAAAACACAUGGCUUUGCGAAAUCGAAAGAUGAAGUAUAAGGCCUGACACCUGCCCGGUGCUGGAAGGUUAAGGGGGGAGGUUAGCAGCAAUGCGACGCCUUGAACUGAAGCCCCAGUAAACGGCGGCCGUAACUAUAACGGUCCUAAGGUAGCGAAAUUCCUUGUCGGGUAAGUUCCGACCUGCACGAAUGGUGUAACGAUCUGGGCGCUGUCUCAGCCGUGAGCUCGGUGAAAUUGUAGUCCCGGUGAAGAUGCCGGGUACCCGCAACGGGACGGAAAGACCCCAUGAACCUUCACUAUAGCUUUACAUUGACUCUGGGUAAAGGAUGUGUAGGAUAGGUGGGAGGCUGUGAACUGGUGCCGCUAGGUAUCGGGGAGCCAACGUUGAAAUACCACCCUUUCUUUACUUGGAGUCUAAUCCCAAGCAUUUGGGAGACAAUGUAUGGUGGGUAGUUUGACUGGGGUGGUCGCCUCCAAAAAAGUAACGGAGGCUUUCAAAGGUACCCUCAGCACGCUUGGUAACCGUGCGUAGAGUGCAAUAGCAAAAGGGUGCUUGACUGUGAGACAGACAAGUCGAUCAGGAACGAAAGUUGGAUAUAGUGAUCCGGUGGUUCCGCAUGGAAGGGCCAUCGCUCAAAGGAUAAAAGGUACUCUGGGGAUAACAGGCUGAUCUCCCCCAAGAGCUCACAUCGACGGGGAGGUUUGGCACCUCGAUGUCGGCUCGUCACAUCCUGGGGCUGGAGAAGGUCCCAAGGGUUCGGCUGUUCGCCGAUUAAAGUGGCACGCGAGCUGGGUUCAGAACGUCGUGAGACAGUUCGGUCCCUAUCUGUUGUGGGCGUAAGAAGCUUGAGAGGACCUGACCUUAGUACGAGAGGACCGGGUUGGACGAACCGCUAGUGUAUCUGUUGUGCCGCCAGGUGCAGCGCAGAGUAGCUACGUUCGGUCGAGAUAAGCGCUGAAAGCAUCUAAGUGCGAAACUCACCUCAAGAUGAGGCUUCUUUAUAAGGGUCGUCAAAGACGAUGACGUUGAUAGGUUGCAGGUGUAAAGACAGUAAUGUCCUAAGCUGAGCAAUACUAAUUACCCGUAGACUUUCCGUU
rfam:Sporocytophaga myxococcoides DNA, contig: Contig48_24, strain: PG-01.